rnacentral:lncRNA from 1 species
GUGACUCAUUCCAUAUUAAUGUUUAAUAAACACGUGUAAUAAAAAUACUAAAUAUGUGCAGUGUUAAGGAAGGAAGUAUUUGUUGGUUGAUUUGAUGUGUAUAAAAGGGAAUGUGAAAGUGUGUAGAAUAUGCAGAGAUUGAAGAAAAGAUAGAUAUGGGAAGUGUAUAAGAAAUUGAUGAUUUUGGCUUUUGUGAUUACUAUUUCUUUCUCCGUCAUCAUGGAGGGAGCACUCGCAGCACGACACCUCAUGCAAUUUGAUCUUUUCGAUCCGUUGCGUCCUCUGUGCUACGUUCAAGAUGAACCCUUGUUCUCACGACACCUCAUUCCUUGUUCUCCUCCUCCACCAGGAGGAGGUACAACAACCACUGCUCCCUAAGUUAAAGGAAACUUGUGCCCUAAUCUCCAUUUCAUCUCUCUCUUCAUCAUCAUCUCCUUCCUUUCAUAUCAUAUGUUUAAUAAAUGAUUAGGGCAAUCUUAUAAAUAAUAUAUAUUUUAUGUAUAUCUUAUUUGCUUUCUCUUUCUCUUCACCUUCUGCUUUUUUUCUUUUCUCUAAUUCUAGUCGUUUCUUUAUUUUCUGCAUUUUCUUCAUCUGUUUAACAUUCUUCAACUUAAUUAUCACGUGAGUGCUUUUUGUUUCAUCCAUCUAUUCCACUGUAGCAAAAUAAGAUCCUCCAAUAUAUAUUAAAAUUGUAUGCUAUAUAUAUAAAAACGGAUUUCUUACAUUUAUAACGUUAAACUAACAAAAG